CUUGCAUCACAUUAAUAAUAACGGGCUUUGUUUAGACUAUCCGUGAGAAAGAAUUGUUCAGUUGCAUUAAAGGACUAGUUUUGCCUUUGAUAUUAAAUAGUCAUUUUUUGUACGAACCGAAUUUGUUUGAGUGACAGCAAAACAUACUACCCACAAGAAAUGUUUUGGGUUGGAAAUCAUGACGCAUCGUCAGAGAAGCAGUGACGGUUGGUGCGUGUACAGAGCGGCUCCAGCAGCAAUCCGGGCUAAACAACAGGCGCUUGGAUCCCGUGCUUUCUAAGGAAUUAUCGGCCCGGAGAUGGGGUUGCGCGAAGGCAUCGGAAAACCCCGUGCGGCCCGCCGCCGCCGCCGACAUCGUGCACCUCGUGACCGUGGGAAAGUCGAGCACCCUGUAAAGUAUGGCACGUAACCUACCACAGGGAUUGGCCCUGGGCUCAGUAAGCGACGAGCACUAAGGUGAAGACCUUCCAUCUUUUCAG